GAGGUUGUGGCUCAGUGGUAGAGCGCUCACCUAGCACAUGUGAGGCACUGGGUUCAAUCCUCAGAACCACA
rnacentral:tRNA from 2 species